rnacentral:rRNA from 1 species
UACGUAGGGGGCAAGCGUUGUCCGGAAUUAUUGGGCGUAAAGCGCUCGCAGGCGGUCCUUUAAGUCUGAUGUGAAAUCUCGCGGCUCAACCGCGAACGGUCAUUGGAAACUGGAGGACUUGAGUACAGAAGAGGAGAGUGGAAUUCCACGUGUAGCGGUGAAAUGCGUAGAGAUGUGGAGGAACACCAGUGGCGAAGGCGACUCUCUGGUCUGUAACUGACGCUGAGGAGCGAAAGCGUGGGGAGCGAACAGG